CUCAUUCUCGCUCUAUCUUUUUCUCUCUUAGUUCGAGCUAGAGUGGGAGCUCAGUUGCGUGUGCGCCGCGCGGCUGCUACCCUCUCUACUUGUCGUGUGCCGCGCUCUCUCUCUCUCUCUCUCUUGCUCUCUUGCUCACUCUUCCGCUCCUCUACAUCUUCCGUCAUGCAGCAAGUGCAUCGAAACUCUUCAAAAUCCAAAUGUUACAAGAAUUCGAUGACGGACAAAGGCUUCGACGUGGCUCGACAUCGUACCCGAACGCGCAGUGAGAUGCAUUUGAAAAACUUUCAUUACCGGAUUGCGAGAUAAAGAAGCAAACAUCGUCCCUGAAAACAGGGGUGUUUCGGUCGAGAAAGUCUGAGGCUAGCUCCACCAUGACCGGAAGUUCAGUCAACUCCUCGAGAAGCUGUCUCGUCGCGACCGCCGAAUGAUAACUCGUUCCACAGCCGAUCAGCAUCAAACGUCUGCAUCUCUUGAUCUCAGGAAUAUAGUCCUGAAACGCAAACCAAAUUCUUCAUUACGCGAAAUUCGUAUCGAUAAAAAAUAAUAAAAAAAAGUUUUUUCCAAUUUGUAGGAAUAUUUUUGAAAAAAUUCGAAAAAUCAUUAUUCAUUUA